AUGAAGGCUAGGGUUGAUUGAAACAGCAGCAGAUGCAGCUACAGUAGAUUUGGACUGCCCAAUAUUCCAGUCACGAAAAAGAAACUGCCGGCUGAGAUUACUUUUCUCGAUCACAUCAUCAUCUGUUACAGUUAGCUUUCCUUCGCGACUGCAAGAAACCCCCAUCAAGGCAAGGUUCUUCAAGAACUCACAUCCAAGAGCACCUGAACCAACAACAAAUACUUUUGCCUCUUCCAGCCUCUUUUGAAGUUUUGACCCAAAUACAUAAAUCUGAGCAUCAUACCGACAGUUGAGUGGUUUUAAAUCAUCAGGCUCCAAUGGCUCCACAGGAAGAGACUCAAGUGAAUCAAAGUAAAAGAACUGGAGAAGUGGAUGGAACUUCCCUGAGCAGGCUUUCACAACCUCUUGACCAACAAUACCGCCGAACA
rnacentral:misc_RNA from 1 species